rnacentral:rRNA from 1 species
GACGAACGCUGGCGGCGUGCCUAAUACAUGCAAGUCGAGCGCAGGAAGCUGACGGAACUCUUCGGAGAGAAGGCAGUGGAAUGAGCGGCGGACGGGUGAGUAACACGUAAGGAACCUGCCUCAAGGAUUGGGAUAACUCCGAGAAAUCGGAGCUAAUACCGGAUAGUUCAACGGACCGCAUGGUCCGCUGAUGAAAGGCGCUUCGGCGUCACCUUGAGAUAGCCUUGCGGUGCAUUAGCUAGUUGGUGGGGUAACGGCCCACCAAGGCGACGAUGCAUAGCCGACCCGAGAGGGUGAUCGGCCACACUGGGACUGAGACACGGCCCAGACUCCUACGGGAGGCAGCAGUAGGGAAUCUUCCACAAUGGACGAAAGUCUGAUGGAGCAACGCCGCGUGAGUGAUGAAGGUUUUCGGAUCGUAAAACUCUGUUGUAAGGGAAGAACACGUACGAGAGGGAAUGCUCGUACCUUGACGGUACCUUACGAGAAAGCCACGGCUAACUACGUGCCAGCCGCCGCCGUAA